UUGCUGGAAGCCAGGUGGCGAGGUUCUCGCAAAAGGGUGGGAUGCAGGAGGGGUCAAGUUAGAAAAGUGCUACUUUCGGUCUUUGUUUGUAUUGUAACUAAUGUUUCAGGGCACUGAUAAUCAGAUUAACGAAUUUUCUUUUUCUUCUGCCCUUUAUUUGUUUUUUGGGGAGAGAGCGGGGAGGAGAUGUGUCUGUGCCUGCAAUUAGUAAUAUCUCUUCUUCCCUAGUUAUUAACAAGGAGCAGUCCAUUGGGUAUCAUGCUAAUUUUUACGUGGGCACAGGGCACAGAGUACCUUUUGGGAGACAAGUGGGACACAGUACUGAAGAUUGGCUCCAUCAAGCAAUGAAGAAAUAGAAACAUACGAUAAUGCGUAUAUAUGGCUACGGAUGAAAUGGAGGAGGCAAAAGACACGUUUAUUUUGCUUUACCCUGCAUUGAUAUCAGUAAAAGCAGGUUCCACGUGAAAAAAACCACAAAACUUUGGUCCAGGACAUCCUGAAACAAGAGAAAAAUAAAGAGAAAUGAAGGGGAUCUGAAACAAUAAAAGCCUAGGAAGCUCAAGGAAGCUGCUGUUUCCAAACCACCUAGCUGUUACAUGCUACUGUCCUGACAGCACGCUGCUUCAGCCCAUCUACGCCCUGUUUCUGUUUCUGCCUUGGGAAAAGGACGCGCCCAAUGUGGAGUAACUGAAAAUCAACAGAAACAUGCUCAUUGAAAAUAUGGUUAAGGGAAGUAAGUUUUUUAUUUAUGAAUGUGACAAAGGUAACAGCUUCUUACAAAAAAAUAGUGCUAUAAAAUAAAAACAGUCCAAAGAGAAAAUAAAAUAAGAAUCUCAGUGUUUAACUUCACACCAUAAAGCCCUAAUGCUUUAUUUUAUAGGAAAUCCUCUUAGGUCUUCAUCCAGAGGCCACCUGAUUAUCUACUUUUUUAAAAUUUACAAAUGGCACAUGGGAUAGGUAGAUCUAGAUAUUGCUGAGAAAUCCACUCCACUGCAGACUCCAUGAGGACAGAGACCAUAUUUAUCUUACGCAAUUUUGGAUUUCUAGUGUGUGCAUAUGCUUACCAUACAGUAGCAGCACAAUAAAUAUUUGUUGAAUAAAUGAAUAAAUGAAAAUUAGUUAGGGUGAUCAGGAAAUCUAGAUCUUUCCCAUUACCCAGAUGUGUGCUAUAUCCCGAGAUACCUGAAAAAUCUCAGUUGUGAUGCUAACAGUCUUGCCUUUUAGAAAUAAUUGGAAUGGAAAAUGUUUCACUUUUUUCCUGAGGCCUGUUAGUUUUGUGUUGAAUGAUCUAAAAUGUAAAAUUUAUAACUGAGAAUAUUGGCAACUACUUAGAUUGAAAACAAGCUAUCUUCAAAAUAGUGACCUCCAGGUAGAAAAUUGAUAUACUUUUAUUAGCUUCUUAAGCCAGGCUUAUUUUUAAUGUACCUUGCAUGUCUAAAACAUAUACUUUCUCAAACUUAACUCUAAGUUAUGAUGCAUAUAACCUAAAUAUUGCCUCAACUAAGAAAUUUUUGAUCAAAGGAACAAGCAACUUAUUACCUUAAUUCAGUGUAAGGGAGCUGGUGCCUCAGUUAAAAUUUCCUGUUUUGUCCUUUUAUAGAAGUAAAGCUUAGUUCUGUGAGGGCAUUAAUGAUAGAUUUUUUUUUUAAAGUUUUUUUAAUCUAAAAUUUCUGUUUCCUGAAAGUUCCUUUUUGCAGGAUGUGUUGCUGUUCUCUGUCCUUCAUCCUGGGCCCUUCCCUCAACAGUCUGGUGGUCCCUGACUGUCUGCUCACAUUUCAGAGUGAGACCCAAGUAGGUGACAGGAAGCCCUCUCUGCAUGUAUGUGGACUGGACUAUGGCCUGGUGGGCUUCUCUGUAGCCUAAUCCAGCCAGGUAGUUUCACUGCAGAGCAGUAGUCAUAAGGGAUCUGUUAGGGCUUUCCUCUAGGGAUGUCACCCCAAGAAAGAAAUCCCCCAAUCUCCUGCUUUUGAGUUAUGGAUUAUUGAAACUGGAUUGCCAGUUUUCUCCAAGCCCAGAAGUAGAAGGGUAUUUGGGUUUCAUCAUUUAUAAUGUAGUACUUGAUAUGCAAAAGCUUUUUAUCUUGAUGAUGUCCCAAUAGUUCAUUUUUGCCCUUGCUUCCCUUGCUUUUGGUGAUGCGUCUAGUUAGAAGUUGCUGCAGGGGAGAUUGAAGAGGUUGCUGCCUGUGUUCUCCUCAAGGAUUUUGUUGGAUUCCUGUCUCACAUUUAGGUCUUUCAUCCAUUUUGAGUCUAUCUUUGUGUGUGGUGUAAGGAAAUGGUCCAGUUUCAUUCUUCUGCGUGUGGCUGUCCAAUUUUCCUAACACCAGAGAAAGAGAAUUAUCGUAUAACCUCACUCAUAUGUGGAAUUUGAGAAACAAGGCAGAGGAUCAUAGGGGAAGGGAGGGAAAAAUGAAACAAGACAAAACCAGAGAGAGAGACAAACCAUAAGAGACUCUUAAUCUCAG